UGCCAGCCGCCGCGGUAAUACGGAAGGUGCAAGCGUUAAUCGGAAUUACUGGGCGUAAAGCGCGCGUAGGCGGCUAGAUAAGUCGGGUGUGAAAGCCCCGGGCUCAACCUGGGAACUGCAUUCGAUACUGUCUGGCUAGAGUGUGAUAGAGGGAGGCGGAAUUCCGCAUGUAGCGGUGAAAUGCGUAGACAUUCGGAGGAACACCAGUGGCGAAGGCGGCUUUCUGGACCGAUACUGACGCUGAGACGCGAAAGCGUGGGGAGCAAACAGGAUUAGAUA
rnacentral:rRNA from 1 species